ACUGUGAAGUCACAAGAGGCCCUGAGCUCUGUGGGCCCCAGGUGCCCCGGGAAAACUUGGGGGAGAAUGGGCAUCCCACCCCAGCACUUUCUAGGAAGAAGGGCAGCAUUUUGAAGGGCUGGAAGUAGAGGAAGGAGGUUGCGGGUAGAAGACUCCAUACUUUCUGUGACGCCUAUUCCUUAGGUAGGAACUUAGGAACCUCAGCUUGUGAUGAAUGUUUUCUCAGUAUCCUAUGCUGAAAACAGGUAGAUACUAAUAUCGAUCUUCAAGGGAGGGCUGUUGAGUAUUGAAUAAGACAAAAACAUGGAAGCAAUCAGCACCAUGCUGGAGAGCCUUUAUAUAACCAAAGAUAUUUUUGGACCAUGAAUUCAGAAAUUCUCGGAGCCACCCAUCAGUGCCUGAGCUUCAGUGAGUCCAUAUCCCAUGUCACCCACGGCAAAGGAGACUCUAAGACUUCUGAAGAGUUUCUUGCUUCUUUCCUGUGGGGCAGUGACUCCACUUCCCAGCAGUAAUGGAAUAUCCUGAAUUAGCUACAUUAAUGUUAGAACCAUUUGGACCUCACCCAGGACUUCAACUACAUUAUGCUAAAGUUACAGAACCCAAAUUUGGCAACUGUCUGCAUCUGAACAACAGAAGUUUCAACAUUCUGCCAACAGAGUAACUCCUGGACGAUUGGCACAGAAGAAGGCACAAGGCCCUCCAAACACCAGCACUGAGUAGAAAGAGGCUCUGAUUCAUGAAAUGUGAAUUUAUGACAGUUGCCACUCUUAAAAAAAAAAACAAACAGACAGAACUUGAGCAAUACAUGACUGAUGCAUUCUCAGCCUGCUUCCUGUGUUCCAUCUGUCUUUCUGCCAGUGCAUUCACCCUCCAGGUUCUAGUAUGUUACGUUUAUGUUCCCCUGCUUUCUACAAUCCUGUUCAAAGAGUUGCUGACUUAACCACAGAGAGGAUUCCAGAACCUGAGACACAGAAUAAACUUGAGCAAUCAUAGUCCAUCCACUUCAUUGUCUCAUCAAAAACCAAAGGUCCAGUGAAGCUCUGGAACUCAACGCUGUAAAGGAGCGAAGGAGCUUCUAUACAGAGCCUGGAUGCCUGUCUCCUUAUCCUACUUCAGUGGACUUGACUGCAAUCCGGAUUAUGCUGUUUUCUAAGCAUUUAAAAUAAAAUAAAAAGUAUAAUAGUGUGAUAAGUUCUUUCACAAAGCAAGCAAUCACAUUUAUGUUUCUACUUACAUUUGGGUUUUCCAAAUAUGUGUGUGUGUGUGUGUGUGUGUGUGUGUGUGUGUAUGUAGACUUUAAACAUGGUGCAUCCAUCAUGUUGCACUAAAUCAAAACCACCAAAUAAUGAUGUAGAACUAAUAAAUCAAAACCAUCAAAUAAUGACAUAGAAAUCCAAUUCUCCCACCUUACACCCAUUAAGAUGGCUACU
rnacentral:lncRNA from 1 species